rnacentral:lncRNA from 1 species
CCCCAUUCUCUCCAGGGCAUAGUCCCCGCUCUUCACAAAGUCCAGCGAGACCUAGGAGCAGAGGUGGGGAUGAGGAUCACUCUCUGUUGGUGCAGUUCGUGUCCAUGUGAUCUUGAGUUGGACAUGGGCAUCUGGGGUCCGGCAAAGCCAAGGUCUGGCAGCCAAUAUGACUUCCACCGGACAACACACCUCCCACCCCAGCAAUUCCAGAUGCCUGGGAAACAGCAGCAACACGGUGGCUUCCCCGGACCCGGGCAAGCACAGCGGCCAGAGCAGCGCCGAGGCUGGGGGCCAAUCCGGCUCGAAUCCCUCGGGGCAGGGGCGGCUGGAACAGCCUUCUAGACAGCUUGGCCUCUGCAUGCUCCCCAUCCCACACCCUGGCUCGGGCUCCCCAGCAAGCGCUCGGGAGCCAGUCAGCCCCAGGUGCAGGUGCUCUUAGGCAGGAGGAGGGUGUCACCUCCAGCCUGGCACAGCUGGUGACGCCUGGCACUUUUGCUGCAGCUGCUAUGAGGAGGGCAGGCUAGGCCACUCAGGGAAGCUGUUCUUCCUUUACAGCAAUUAAACCCAAGGUCAGGGCCACAGGAGGGAGUCUCGGGCUCCGCUCUGGGAGUCAGAGGGCUCCUUCUUGUUCCUAGCAGCUCAGGACUGGAUGAAAAAA